rnacentral:lncRNA from 1 species
UUUGCCUCCCACCAUGAUUCUGAGGCCUCCUCAGCCAUGUGGAACUGAUGACACAUCUAGAAGACCCUCACCUUAUGCUUAUGCUGGCCCCUUGAUCUUGGCCUCCAGAAAUGUAUAAUGAAGAAUCUUGAGGUCAUCCUGGAUUACCAAAGUGGGCCCUAAAUCCAGUGGCAGAAGACACAGACACAGAGAGGAGACCAGGUGAAGACAAAAGAAGAGGCUGGAGUGAUGCGACCAUCAGAGAGUGAAAAUACUCAGUUACCUCUUGGUUUAUGAGGCAAUGAAGCAUUCCAGCACAUAAAUAUUGACGCUGAGACCCAUGGGAUGUAGGAGUGCUGAGCACAUUUGCAAGACAUAAAGACAGAAGGGAAGUUUACCAACCCUGGAGAACAUCAGCUCUCCCUUUCUUCCCUCUUUGCAGUUGAAGCUUGAAAGAAGCUAAACAAAUGGACAUGGAUGUGUUUCAAUAAAACUUUAUUUACAAAAACCAGCUGCGGGCUAGAUUUGGCUUAGAGGCUUCAGUUUGCUGACUCUUCUAGAGCAGAUGUGUGUGGUAUCUAGAUGAGAUGCAUGG